CAUUUGAACUUUGCCUCAUCUUUUUCAACUAUCACUCUUCGAACAAGAACAGGAUUUCUUAAGUGCACUCUAUAGGGCACUGGAGGCAGAAUGCAGUUUCCAGGGCCACACUCCAAGCCAAGUGAAUCACAGUUUCUGGGGAUGGACUCUGGGCAUCUGUAUUUCUAACAAGCUCCUCAGACCAUGUGGACAUUCACUGACCUUUGAGAACCACGGAUCCAGAGGGGAAGGCCCGGGGUCCUAUGUACUGAAUGCUUUCUGGAUGUCAGCCUCUGCACAAGGGAGAGAAAUAGCUUUGGUUUGGUUUUUGAAAAGCCAAACUCCAGAUGAGGAAACAGAUGUGGAAGAGGUAAAAUCGUUUGCCUACCUCACACCAAUAACCUGUGGUGUCUUUCGACUCUGUAUUUCUGGCUCAAUGCUGAGCUGUUACCUCCCAAGCCGAACUGCGGUGGCCCUAUUUCCCACACUGGAAACUGAAACUCAUGACUUCACAGAGUCCUCACUGAAAGAGACAAUGCUCCUUGAAGAUGGAAGCCCCGCCCCUCACCCGGUCACACUCAGACUGGGACCUAUGGCUCUGGGGAGAGCCAUAACUACUGUUAACAGGAACCCUUUGACACCUUUGGAGGAAAGGAAUGUAGACUCAUCCUCUUGUCAUCGCAGAAUCCCUUGACUCCGCCAGAUAUUCCCCACCACACCGAGGUGUGGAAGGCUUCUUUUUCUCAUUUCGAGGUAAGACCACAUGUGGCUACACCAGGGAGCCCCACAUCGUGGUUGUCAGCAGAACGUGCGUAGAGAGAAGUUGGUGCUUUCCAUCGAGGGAGACGGAAAAGACUGUUUCCCCUUUCAUCGGAAAUCUUCCUCCUUAGGAGGUGCUCAAAGGCUUGUCAUUUGCCCAGAUGUCCUUCUGAGCAGGCCUCUCCUUGGCCACGGCAAGGAUCAGUAACGUCACGGAAGGCUCUGUUGUCCAAGGUGGGAGCUUCUAGCCACAAGUGGCUACUGGAAUUUAUACUAUUUGAAAUGAAAUAAGAUCCACCAUUCCUAUUGUUAGUUGCACGAGCUAUAACAUUUCAAGUGCCGGUGGCGUUCAUACCGGACCGCGUGGCCACGGGACACUCCUGUCAUCGCAGCAAGUCUGAUUGGAUGGCGGUACUCUAAGGCAAGCUGCUUACCAGAGGCCACCUUACUGGUCCCAGAGGGGGUGACCUGCACUGUGGUCCUGAGGGGCCCACAUGAGGCUAUCCCCAGCAUGGGUGUGGUCAUGGGGUGAAAACUUUUUUUUAAGAUUUUAUUUAUUUAUUUGAGAGAGAGAGAGCACAAGCAGAGGGAGAGGAAGAGGGAGAGGGAAAGGGAGAAGCAGACCCCCCGCCGAGCAGGGAGCCUGACACGGGGCUCGAUCCCAGGACCCUGGGAUCAUGACCUGAGCCGAAAGCAGACGCUUAACGACUGAGCCACCCAGGCGCCCCACUGGGGUGAAAACUUAAUGAUACUUUCAAUCAACAUGUAUUUCUUACAUACAGCACUUCAUUCAAGGCCACUCAAAUGAGCGUGGGAAAUCCUGACACAUUUCUGUUGUCUCGGAGUUCAUAAUUUACAUGGACUGAAAUGGCCUGGGAAGAGGGGCUAAGGACAGGAGAGGUGACAGAGGGACACGGAAGAGAUGGGACCUGAGAGCUACACAGGCAGUGAGCUGGGCGACUUGCUGAUGGGACCCUGACUGGACAGCAUGUGGGGUGUGCGGUGUGGACAUGAACUCUGGAACUCACAGUCUUCGGGCUCGACGUCCGAGUGGCUGUCCUCCCCUGACCUCUCUUGUGCCUCCUCCUUGGCAGGUUCCGGCAUCUUUGGGUCCCGUUACCCCUCCCAGAGCACAAGGCUGAGGGUGGAGGGCGAGUGCCACCAGCCCCUCACCCAGAACCCUUUCAGGGUACACCUUAUGCUGCCUGCCCGCCCCCAGGUCUGGGGGACCUGAACCGGCCCCCUCUCUGCCCUAGAAGCACAGCCCUUAGGAGGCUCCAUCCUCCUGGGUUCAAGCCUCCCUGGGACGUGCAUUUCCUGACCUGACCUGACAUGGGCCACCACCAGAGUUUCACUUUUCAUUUUCUGACUGAAUCAGGAUGUGCCCUUUUGGGAAGGGGGGGUAGCCAAGGCAUUCCAGAGCCCGGAACAGGCCCCACGGCCCAGCAGGGAGGGAGGAAGGAAGAACCAGCGCGAGCGCACCUCGGGCAGCUCCCCUGACUAGCAGACGGCAGGGAAGGAAGCCAGUGUGUGUCCAGUGCCAGGGCGGGCCAUGUGCCAGCACCCCUCCCUCUUGAUAGGAUCUCUCUUCUAGCCCUCACCACAUUUGUCACAGUGCCUGAGGGCCAGCUUAGUGGCCCCUCCACACACAUACACACACAGUGAGCGGGCCCAGGUCUACAGCCACCUGCCCCUGGCCACUCCACUCUUUGGGGAUGUGGAUUAGAACUCUGGUCUUCGCGUUCCCGGACAUCACCCCACUAUCCCUCCUGUCCCAGGUAAAUGUCUGGGAACAGCCCCCCAUUUUUUUUUUUUGCUUCAACUUCAAACAUAGAAAAGACAAAAAGAGGAGGCAUAAUGGUUAGACAGUCCUGGGUAAAUUCCGAGGGCUUCAUUUCUAAGAUGGGAGGUGAUUUUAUUGAAACCUUGCAUGGUCUCCAUUAGCUUAUUUGUAAAAUAAUAGGAGUCUGGUCUGAUCCAGAGAUCCACAUUAAAUAGGCUUCCCCUUUAAUGCUUUUGAAGGGAAAUAAAAAACACGAGUAGCAGAGUGAAGGAGGUAUGAGUUGUGAGUUGACUGCCUCUGGCUUCGUUGUUCCAAGAAAACUGUUAAAAAGGAGCAACAUGUGAAUAUCCUAAUUCCCUGGCAAGUCCAACUUGGUGAGUCUUUGCACUUUCUAGAAAAUGUGGUGUGGGAUAGGUGGGAGAUGAGAGGGAGAGAGAGGGCGAGGGAGGAAGAGAGAGAAUAUGAAAAUGAACAUGAAUGAACUUGGGCAUCCGGGAGACCAGCUGAACUUUGGGGCUUCUUUGUCUCAAAGAACUUUCCUUGUCCCUCAGCUCUUGGAAGCACAGAACACUUCCGAUGGUUUUAGGGAUCAGUGAGGGGGAAGAGAGGGAGGAAAAACAUGGGGAGGUUGUUUGAUCAGCCCCAGAGCAGUCUGAUCAAUGCUCAGAGUGGAUACCAGCUCAGGAGUGAAGGCUGCUUUUCCAGGUUGGUCCUGGCUGUAAACUGGGAUAUGAAUUUUACAAGCAGGAAAGGCUCUGAACAUACAAGUUUGACUGACAGGAAAAGUCCAUGGCCCGUGGGCCCUGGAUGGAAGGGCUGGGCCUCUGGGGACAUCUUCCUGGCUGCAAAAAGGGCUAGGCUGCUUGAAAGGUACUUGAAACAAAUAAAACAGUGACUCUAAAACAUACCCAUAUGUCACGUUCUUACAGAAAAAUACUCUCUGUAAUUAGUUACAAGCUUCAGGGAAUAAAAUCCAAUUUACCUGUCAAAGAAGAAAGGCUAAGCUGCCCCCACCCCAGGCUGCUGGUGGGGGGGACACGGCUUGCAGGCCCUUCCCUCCCCUAGCCCCUGCUUUUCUCCUCCCGCCCCCUUUAUUUGUGAGGACUAGAAAAAAAAUAGGAAAGUUGGAAAAAUCCUCUAAAGACACACAGUGUUCCAAGCACAAUCAGGCCACUAAUUACUGUUAAGCCCGAGCCCCUUUUUGUGUUCUCGGAGGGGGGGGACUUCAGUGUGUAGCAACCACUUGGGUCUUUUCAUGAGUUCGGGCUAACUCCUGAAUAGCAGAUUUUUUUCCCUUCUCUUUUCAACAUUUGCUUCUGCCCACCCUUCUUUUCCUUCUGCCUUCAUCUCCAACUUCACCUUCUCCUUCUGUCCUUUUUUUCUUUCUCUCUCUCUUUUUUUUUGGUGCUUUUUUCCCCUUACCCACCACCUUCCCUCUAUUCUUUUUGCUUUUCUGAUAGCAUUUUUCUUCUGGCGUGGUGUUUUAAGUCUCUAAAUGAAACUUGACUGCCCCCACGGCCGGCUGGAGAAGCACAAAGGCCUCCCAUUCCACUGGCUACAGUAACGCCAUUGUGUGUCCUAACAAUGCACUAAUUGGUGGUGACAAUUGUGGGGCUGGGAGGAAGAGGGGGGCGCUCUUUUCCAAUCAGUGGGCCACCAGGAUAAAAGGAGAGGAGAAGGAGGAGGAGGAUGGCAGGCCCGGGCUCCUGGUGAGAGGGAGACCGAUCUGCAGAGGGGGCAUAGUACUUGGGGCUCGUGUUGGGCUUUCUAAAUUAAUAAUACAAAUGAAGGAGAAAAGAAUUGUUUGGGGGAGAAAGUAGACUUUGCCUCAGACAACUUCAGGGUCCUGGUGGUGGCGGGGGGGGAGGUGAACUGCCCUCAGUUCAUCUCUAUGGGAAGGGACCUGAGUGGCCUCCGCAUCUCCGUCCAGCGUUCCAGUGUUUCCGCUAAAGGAUGGGAAAGUCGGAGAGGCCGGUGAGAAAAGGCUCUGGGGGAAGUGUUCUCCGGGAUGGUCGGGAUGGUCAAAAGGCAGGUGUUGAGGCUGGUGUGUGGUGAUGCCCCUGUUUCCACCACAUUUCUCAGCGAGGGGAGGAAGCCAGAAAGGGAGAAGGCUGAGCCAUUCGCCUUGUGGCACAUUAGACUCUCACGAAGUCCAGGGGCUCUGGGCGGCGACUCUGACCUUUAAACUGGUCCAGAAGAGGAGUUGGGCAGGAUUGUGGGCCAGAGCACAAUGGUCGCCACAUGAUGCUGCUGGGACUCUUGGGGCCUGCUGGAGAAGGUGCGAGAGGCCCCAGAAUGUCCCCCAGAGGCUGUGGGAUCCUCCCAGCCACGUGGCUCUGGCUGACACCCUUCCUUUGCACAGAAUGACUCACCUUCCUAGACCGACGUCAAACGUGUUCUCUCCUGGAAGCCCCUCCUGGCCGGGUGGGGUCGGCCCACACCCUCUUUCAUGUUCUCACUCUGCACCCUGAAAACCACAGGACCUGACCUCUAGUCCUCUCUCCUGUGGGUGCCAGGCCCAGGGAUAAGGGCCCUUAUCCACAUCAUUUCACCUAAAUCUCACAACAGCCCCAGGACUGGAGGAUGAUUUUUAUCUCCAUAGAGAAGGCAAUGGGGAAACUGAGGCCUCUUAGCCUCCCUAAGAGGUUCAGGAUCGCACUCGAGGUCACCCAGCGUCAAAGCAGAGAGGCUGGGAAUCUAUCUAACUGUUGCAACAAGGAUGCUAGCUCCCGGGCCCUCUUUGCUUCCAUGCUCACCUUUCCCCCGUCACUGGUCUCUGGAGGGCAGAGGCUCUUUGUGGUCUUUACAUCCCCAGCACCUAACACAGCACCAGACAUACAGGAGGCUUCCAGAAAGGUUUGCUGCCUGAAGGGGGAGGUGGGGAGGGCUGAAUAACGGGCAGUUAUUGCCAAUUAUCCUCCAUGUCCCUUUGGGUCUCAGACUUCAGCCUGCAUCAGAAUCCCCUGGGGUGGAAGGUUGCUCAAAGACAGAUCCCU